CGUUGUAGCUACCGCCCCCGUUGAAGGGCCAGUCGUGAAAGAAAAAGCUGAUCCAUUAAAGAAUAAGUUACACGGUAAUGCUUUGCGCGCUUAGCCAUGCACAGGCAGCCAGUUCAGAGGCACCCCAAAAUGGCGAUACACUCACUGGCUACAUUACAUUAGGUUGUCAAUGCAGUGAUAAGUCUACUUCAACUGCUAAGUCUGGUAAAUCGACGGUCGGCCAAGAAAUGAAAAAGAAUUAACAAACAAUGGUUCAUGGUUACAGUCACGUGGCAUAUUAUACCCAUGACAUGCUGGCAGCCUGGUAAUUAUAUAUUGCAAAGCCAAAAAUUUCUUCAUUUCAAAA